rnacentral:rRNA from 1 species
GUGGGGAAUAUUGGGCAAUGGAGGAAACUCUUACCCAGCAAUGCCGCGUGAGUGAUGAAGGUCUUUUGGAUUGUAAAGCUCUUUGAUUGGGGACGAAUAAAUGACGGUACCCAAAGAACAAGCCCCGGCUAACUAUGUGCCAGCAGCCGCGGUAAUACAUAGGGGGCGAGCGUUGUCCGGAAUGACUGGGCGUAAAGGGUGUGUAGGCGGUUUAUCAAGUUAGAAGUGUAAUACCUAGGGCUUAACUCAGGUGCUGCUUCUAAAACUGAUAGACUUGAGUGUGGGAGAGGAUGAUGGAAUUCCUAGUGUAGCGGUGGAAUGCAUAGAUAUUAGGAGGAACACCAGAGGCGAAGGCGAUCGUCUGGACCAUAACUGACGCUGAGGCACGAAAGCGUGGGGAGCAAACAGGAUUAGAAACCCGGGUAGUCC